GAGUAUGAAGUUUGCAUGUUUUAUUCAUGGAAACAGAAGAGGCUCAAAUUUGGGGAACAGUACCGUACAUUACAAGCAACUCAAUCAUCUUCUUACUCUAUUUACAAACAAGUCACUCGGCUACAGCCAGCAAUACAAAGGAGAAAAGAAGACCAUCACACCCUGCCUCUCACCUUCUGCAUUAUCAACCAACUACCUCGAUCAACACAUGUACAAUACUUACAGUUACACCAGCUUCAUCAGCAGCCCCCGCCGCAGCCUCCACAGGCAGCGCCACAACCACCUCCGGCGCCACUACCCUGUUCGCGUUUACGAGGCUUACCGGAGUUGGGAUGACCAGCGCACAAGAAAAUGAUGAGAGAGAUAAGGAAAAGGGAGGAUAAAAUCAAGAAAAGCAAGAGUAGGGCAGUAGAGAUAUGCAUUGCUUGGGAUGAAGUUAGCUUAGUCGCUGAAUGAUGCUUUCUGCUUGCCAUGAUUUUGUAAAUUUGGGGGAGACCAAAACAUAAAGUUA
rnacentral:lncRNA from 1 species